rnacentral:rRNA from 1 species
GACGAACGCUGGCGGCGUGCCUAAUACAUGCAAGUCGAGCGGACGGAUGGGAGCUUGCUCCCAGACCGUCAGCGGCGGACGGGUGAGUAACACGUGGGCAACCUACCUGUAAGACUGGGAUAACUCCGGGAAACCGGGGCUAAUACCGGAUAACUCUUUCCCUCACAUGAGGGAAAGCUGAAAGAUGGCAUCUCGCUAUCACUUACAGAUGGGCCCGCGGCGCAUUAGCUAGUUGGUGAGGUAACGGCUCACCAAGGCGACGAUGCGUAGCCGACCUGAGAGGGGGAUCGGCCACACGGGGAAGGGGAACCGGCCCAGACCCCUAGGGGGGGCAGAAGGAGGGAAUCUUCCGAAAGGGACGAAAGGCUGAGGGAGAAACGCGGGGGGAGUGAAGAAGGUUUUGGGAUCGUAAAACUUUUUUGUCAGGGAAAAACAAGUACCGGGGUAACUGCCGGUACCUUGACGGUACCUGCCCAGAAAGCCCCGGCUAACUACGU